AACUUUCAGCAACGGAUCUCUUGGCUCUCGCAUCGAUGAAGAACGCAGCGAAAUGCGAUAAGUAAUGGGAAUUGCAGAUUUUCAGUGAAUCAUGGAAUCUUUGAACGCAUCUUGCGCUCCUUGGUAUUCCGAGGAGCAUGCCUGUUUGAGUGUCAUUUAACUUAUCAACCACUUUCAUGUUCUGAAUGUGGCUUGGAUGUGGGGGGACUCUUUUGCAGGCCUUUACAGGUCAGCUCCCCUGAAAUGCAUUAGUGGCAUCUGAGCUGCUACUGUAGGUGUGAUAAACUAUCUAUGCCUUUGGUAUGCUGCAUGAACAGAUCGCGCUGCUCAAAACAAAAUACUUGACAAACUUGACCUCAAAUCAGGUAGGACUACCCGCUGAACUUAAGCAUAUCAAUAAGCGGAGGCU
rnacentral:misc_RNA from 1 species